rnacentral:rRNA from 1 species
UACGGGGGGUGCAAGCGUUGUUCGGAAUUACUGGGCGUAAAGGGCUCGUAGGCGGCCAACUAAGUCGGAUGUGAAAUCCCCAGGCUUAACCUGGGAACUGCAUCCGAUACUGGAUGGCUUGAAUUCGGGAGAGGGAUGCAGAAUUCCAGGUGUAGCGGUGAAAUGCGUAGAUAUCUGGAGGAAUACCGGUGGCGAAGGCGGCAUCCUGGACCGACACUGACGCUGAGGCGCGAAAGCUAGGGGAGCAAACGGG